GAGUAUGCGAUACCCUUCCUUGGAGGGAAUCGCCAAGGAAGAUGGAAGGACAGCGACGAUGCUGGGGUCCGCGGCCACAGAAACCCCAAGAUCUUUUUUUGGGGUGGCACAAAGGGCGGUCGGCUGAGCAGAGGAGAGAGCCAGAGAUUGUCUGGCAGUCGAUGGAGGCUCCCCGCACUCGCCCUGAAGAGCGUGUCAUCAGUCCGGUGCCACCUGCCAGCUCCACGCACCAAGCCUCCAGUGCGCCGCCCCAGCCCGGUACGUCCUGUGCCAGCUCCUCGCACUCGACCUGAAGAGCGUGUCAUCAGUCCGGUGCCACCUGUGCCGGCUCCACGCACCAGGCCUCCAGUGCACCUCCCCAGCCCGAUACAUCCUGUGCCGGCUCCCCUCACUCGUCCACCAGUGUGUGUGUGUACGGUCCGGAGACUCCAGCGACGGUCUACCGCCCAGAACCUCCAGCGAAGGUUCACAGUCCAGAGCUUCCAACGACGGUCAACGGUCCGGAGCUUCCGGCGACGGUCAACGGUCCGGAGCUUCCGGCGACGGUCAACGGUCCGGAGCUUCCGGCGACGGUCAACGGUCCGGAGCUUCCGGCGACGGUCAACGGUCCGGAGCUUCCGGCGACGGUCAACGGCCCGGAGCUUCCGGCGACGGUCAACGGCCCGGAGCUUCCGGCGACGGUCAACGGCCCGGAGCUUCCGGCGACGGUCAACGGCCCGGAGCUUCCUGCGACGGACAACGGCCCGGAGCUUCCGGCGACGGACAACGGCCAGGAGCUUCCGGCGACGGUCAACGGCCCGGAGCUUCCGGCGACGGUCAACGGCCAGGAGCUUCCGGCGACGGUCAACGGCCCGGCGCUUCCGGCGACGGUCAACGGCCCGGAGCUUCCGGCGAUGGUGCCCAGUCCAGGCACGGCAUCCAGUCCUGCUCCAUGGCCGGAGCCUUCCUCUGCCGCCACCGAUGCUAGUUGCCCACCCUAACCCUCCCCAUCUAGGUUCAGGUUUUUGCCUUUGGGGGGGUUACUGUCACGCCCUAACCAUAGAGAGCCCUCUGGGUUCUCUUUGGUGUAUAGGUCAGAGCGUGACUAGGGGGGUUUCUAGCGUUUGUAUUUCUAUGUUGGUGGUUUGUAUGGUUCCCAAUUAG
rnacentral:lncRNA from 8 species